rnacentral:rRNA from 1 species
GACGAACGCUGGCGGCGUGCUUAACACAUGCAAGUCGAACGGAAAGGCCCUGCUUUUGUGGGGUGCUCGAGUGGCGAACGGGUGAGUAACACGUGAGUAACCUGCCCUUGACUUUGGGAUAACUUCAGGAAACUGGGGCUAAUACCGGAUAGGAGCUCCUGCUGCAUGGUGGGGGUUGGAAAGUUUCGGCGGUUGGGGAUGGACUCGCGGCUUAUCAGCUUGUUGGUGGGGUAGUGGCUUACCAAGGCUUUGACGGGUAGCCGGCCUGAGAGGGUGACCGGCCACAUUGGGACUGAGAUACGGCCCAGACUCCUACGGGAGGCAGCAGUGGGGAAUAUUGCACAAGGGGCGGAAGCCUGAUGCAGCAACGCCGCGUGCGGGAUGACGGCCUUCGGGUUGUAAACCGCUUUCGCCUGUGACGAAGCGGGAGUGACGGUAAUGGGUAAAGAAGCACCGGCUAACUACGG